GCGCCAUUAGCUCAGCAGGAUAGAGCAUCGGACUUCUAAUCCGGCGGUCGGGGGUUCGAAUCCCUCAUGGCGCGCCA
rnacentral:tRNA from 1 species